CCUACGGGUGGCACCAGUAGGGAAUCUUCGGCAAUGGGGGGAACCCUGACCGAGCAACGCCGCGUGAGUGAAGAAGGUUUUCGGAUCGUAAAGCUCUGUUGUAAGAGAAGAACGGGUGUGAGAGUGGAAAGUUCACACUGUGACGGUAUCUUACCAGAAAGGGACGGCUAACUACGUGCCAGCAGCCGCGGUAAUACGUAGGUCCCGAGCGUUGUCCGGAUUUAUUGGGCGUAAAGCGAGCGCAGGCGGUUAGAUAAGUCUGAAGUUAAAGGCUGUGGCUUAACCAUAGUAUGCUUUGGAAACUGUUUAACUUGAGUGCAGAAGGGGAGAGUGGAAUUCCAUGUGUAGCGGUGAAAUGCGUAGGUAUAUGGAGGAACACCGGUGGCGAAAGCGGCUCUCUGGUCUGUAACUGACGCUGAGGCUCGAAAGCGUGGGGAGCAAACAGGAUUAGAUACCCCAGUAGUC
rnacentral:rRNA from 1 species